GUGCGAAAUAUUACUGUAAACGGCCGCCCUAGCGUGAGGGUGCUAAGGUAGCGAAAUUCCUUGCCUUUUGAUUGUAGGCCUGCAUGAAUGGUUUAACGAGGGUUUAACUGUCUCUUGAUUUAAAAUUGAAAUUGUACUGAAGGUGAAGAUACCUUCAUUAAAAAGUCAGACAAAAAGACCCCGUGCAACUUUGAAAAUUAACUUUAUUCAGAAGUGAAAGAUUUUUAGGUGGGGCGCCUAGAAAGUAAAUCUAACCUUUCUGAACAUUUAGUUCUUUCCGGACUUGACCCGAUUAUAUUCGAUCAUAGGAGAAGUUACGCCGGGGAUAACAGGCUAAUCCUUUAGUAGAGCUCGUAUUGGCUAAAGGGAUUGGCACCUCGAUGUUGAAUCAGGGAUGAUAGCUUCAAGGCGUAGAGGCUUUGAAAGUAGGUCUGUUCGACCUUUAAUACCCU
rnacentral:rRNA from 1 species